AGAGUUUGAUCCUGGCUCAGGAUGAACGCUGGCGGCGUGCCUAACACAUGCAAGUCGAACGGAGAUUUAACGCUGAUGAAGCUUCGGCAGAUUCUUGUUAAAUCUUAGUGGCGGACGGGUGAGUAACGCGUGGGCAACCUGCCUCAUACUGGGGGAUAACAGCUGGAAACGACUGUUAAUACCGCAUAAGCGCACGGUAUCGCAUGAUACAGUGUGAAAAACUCCGGUGGUAUGAGAUGGGCCCGCGUCAGAUUAGCCAGUUGGCAGGGUAACGGCCUACCAAAGCGACGAUCUGUAGCCGGCCUGAGAGGGCGGACGGCCACAUUGGGACUGAGACACGGCCCAAACUCCUACGGGAGGCAGCAGUGGGGGAUAUUGCACAAUGGAGGAAACUCCGAUGCAGCGACGCCGCGUGAGUGAAGAAGUAUUUCGGUAUGUAAAGCUCUAUCAGCAGGGAAGAAAGACUCGUAAGAGAGAUGACGGUACCUGACUAAGAAGCCCCGGCUAACUACGUGCCAGCAGCCGCGGUAAUACGUAGGGGGCAAGCGUUAUCCGGAUUUAUUGGGUUUAAAGGGUGCGCAGGCGGCUUGUUAAGCGGGAGGUGAAAUGCCGGCGCUCAACGUCGGAAGUGCCUCCCGAACUGGUGAGCUUGAAUGACUCUGCCGUGGGAGGAAUGUGUAGUGUAGCGGUGAAAUGCUUAGAGAUUACACAGAACACCGAUUGCGAAGGCAUCUCACGAAGGGUUGAUUGACGCUGAGGCACGAAAGCGUGGGGAUCAAACAGGAUUAGAUACCCUGGUAGUCCACGCAGUAAACGAUGAUGGCUAACCGCUGGGCCUUCCGGUUCAGUGGCCAAGCGAAAGCGAUAAGCCAUCCACCUGGGGAGUACGACCGCAAGGUUGAAACUCAAAGGAAUUGACGGGGGCCCGCACAAGCGGAGGAACAUGUGGUUUAAUUCGAUGAUACGCGAGGAACCUUACCCGGGCUCGAACGGCUGGUGAAGAGAUCCAGAGAUGGUGACGUCCUUCGGGACACCAGUCGAGGUGCUGCAUGGUUGUCGUCAGCUCGUGCCGUGAGGUGUCGGCUCAAGUGCCAUAACGAGCGCAACCCUUGCCGUCAGUUACCAUCAAGUAGUGUUGGGGACUCUGGCGGGACUGCCACCGCAAGGUGUGAGGAAGGGGGGGAUGACGUCAAAUCAGCACGGCCCUUACGUCCGGGGCGACACACGUGUUACAAUGGCGGCCACAGAGGGGCACUACCUGGCGACAGGAUGGGAAUCUCGAAAAGCCGUCUCAGUCCGGAUCGGAGUCUGCAACCCGACUCCGUGAAGCUGGAUUCGCUAGUAAUCGCGCAUUAGCCAUGGCGCGGUGAAUACGUUCCCGGGCCUUGUACACACCGCCCGUCAAGCCAUGAAAGUCUGGGGCGCCUGAAGUCCGUGACCGAGAGGAGCGGCCUAGGGCGAAACAGGUAAUUGGGGCUAAGUCGUAACAAGGUAGCCGUACCGGAAGGUGUGGCUGGAUCACCUCCUU
rnacentral:rRNA from 1 species